UUCAUCUUUGAGAGGAACCUUUCAAGUGCAUCCAAGAAUUCCACAGGGCAAAUGCCAAGUUUCUGCAUCUGUGUCUCCAAGCUAUACUCAGACUUUCUUCCAUUUCUUUUUGCCUCUGGGGAUCCACCAGCCACAGUGUGUCUGAACUGAUUGCGUACCACCAGAAUCAUCUGUGUUUUGGGUAUCUUUGAUAUCUUCAACUCAUCCCUCACAACAUCAUCUGAGCUUUUAUUUCUGGAUUCUGAAUUCUCAUGCUUUUCUGAGGUUUCCUUCUGACCUCCAGGAUGCAUAAGAUGUUCUCCCAUUGCAGGCCUUGUUGGAAAAGGGGUAGUGCUCUCUUCUGUUCAAAUAGCAGGAGUUUCCAUAUGAGACUGGGCAGGUAUCCUGAAGUACAUCACCCGCUGUGGAAUUGUAGGCCAUAAGAAUGAAACCUGGCUUGAAAACUGGAUUGUUGUGAAUGAAGAACUCUUCUUGAGAUUAAUGUGGUUUCUACCAAAGUCUUAAGAUGUAAAUUUGAAAUGUUUUGGAAUGUGUAAGUGUCUUCUGGCUGCUAACUAGCAGAAGGGAAAGAAACUGUUAGAAGGUAGGGGUUUGAUGAUGCCUGGUGGAAACUGCCACACUCACAUGAGAUCUGCUCUUGCCUAAGAUGUUUUAUACAAAUCCAAAAGAGUAUUUGGUGGAAUGUGAAAGCAAGUAUGUUGCCAGAGAGGGCCUGAUAUUCAAGAUGAAGGGAAGCUGCAGCAACACAUACAGCAAGUAUUAUAAAUAUGACCUAAAUGCCACUGAGUAAGAAUCUGCUUGGCUAAAAGCCAUGGAGAGCAUCUGGGAAGGAAAAUAACUCCAGACACAGAAAUUCAGUGGCAUGGAGGGAAAUAGAUGUGAAGUCCAAAAAUGAUAGUAGACAGCAAGUUGAACCGAUAGUGCAGUGCAAAGGGGCAGGUAGAAAGGUCAAUGCAAUUGUCAGCUCUGAAAGCAUAGAUGGCAUAUUACCAGAGCACAGAGGCAAUACCCUUUCUCCAUGUAUGUCCAGGAGGAAAAACAUAUAGGAAUGUUAAUAGGAGAGAGUGGAGGCAACUCAGAGUAAUGUCAAAGACAGGAGCAAUUAAUGAGAUAGAAAUAUUUUCUUAAAGAAAAUAAGGUAGUAAAAUGUUAUGUGCCUUUAGCCCUAAUUUUCAAAUAUAUAUAGAAAACUACUUAGUA